CGCGAGCGUGUGUGCUGCCAGCUGCUCUGGAACAAUGGGGCCCUUUAUGUCGCUCGUGCACCUCAGCACGGAUUUAGUAAUGUUUUGAUUUAUCAAGGACAAGCGUCAGCAGGCAGGAGAGAGGCUGUUUAUACCUAAGAGCUGCUUUUCCGUGAGGUCUGUAGUGAAGGACCUCCUCAAGGUCUUCAAGUGAGAUCCUGUCCUCCAGGGGUUGGACAAGGUCUCAUCUUCCUGGAACCUCUGUCUUGGGCAGCAACAGAGCCUCCCCAGAUUAAACACUUGAAGACCGACCUUCAGGAACCCCAAAUACUCCAACCACCUGCCGAACACAGGGCAGUUACUGACGAACUCCGGCAGUUCUCCAACCACGGCCCAGCAAAGCCAGGUGCACACGCUGCCUACCACAGUGCCAUCUCUACAGUUUAUUGACGUAGAAAAGAGAGUCAUGUGUCUCUAUAACUUUAAAAAUAUUACCUUUGUGAUAGUUUGCUGAGAAUGAUGGUUUCCAGUUUCAUCCAUGUCCCUACAAAGGACAUGAACUCAUCACUUUUUAUGGCUGCAUAGUAUUCCAUGGUGGAUAUGUGCCACAUUUUCUUAAUCCAGUCUAUCGUUGUUGGACAUUUAGGUUGGUUCCAAGUCUUUGCUAUUGUGAAUAGUGCCACAAUAAACAUACGUGUGCAUGUGUCUUUAUAGCAGCAUGAUUUAAGGACAAAAAAACCAAACACCGCAUGUUCUCACUCUUAGGUGGGAAUUGAACAAUGAGAACACA
rnacentral:lncRNA from 1 species